UCCGGCACGGGGUGGCGGCGCCGGGCGGCUCCGCAUCUCCUGUCCGCGGUCCUCCGGUACCCAGCUCCACUCUGCUCUUUUAAAUGGCCCGGAGGCGUAACUUCGGCUGGCGCCCGGGCCACGCUGUUGUGCUUCUCUGCGCGUAAUUGCGCCCAAAUGGGUGAAACGAGCGCGACGUGCGCUGAGGGCCAUAGCCUCGCGUUGGUCGGCAGCUGCUGAGAUGUCCGAGUUGCCGUCCGGGAUGCGUCCUCCGGCUGCAGAGUGCCGGUGGGAAACGCGAGGAGUUGGAAGUGGCUCCAAAGACAGCAGUGGAGCUAUUCAGGAUGAAACAGGUGCAGAGCAUCGGUGGCAGUAGUGAUCUGGUGUGAUCCAUAUCGGAACUUUGGAUUUCUAGAAGCUAAUUUGGCUGCAUGCCUCUCACAGAAAGCAACGUAAAGAAACCUUUUCUAAUUAAAUAGCUCAGAUGACACCUGACGUGCUGUGAUUUCAGCAGCCCUUACUGGCCAUUCGUUGAGGCGGCUGCUAGGAGCCCAGCCUGGGGGAUUUGUGUCAUGUUUGUGGCCCAGAGGCAAAGAGGAAACUGGAGAAAUUAAAGGAAGUUAAGGUAGAGAAACCAUGUUGCAUGAAAGAGACAUCUCAUUUUAUCCAUUGUGUUCUAACAGUUAAUUAAGAUUGAUAAUUUACCUCCCAUGGUCCAUCUCUGCCAGGAGUUCUCCUCUUCAUCACCAGCUGGAACAGGAACUCAGGCUUCUUGUUCCCAGUCUGGAAGCCUGUGAAGCAACAGCACAGUUGUAUUUGAUUUGUGGCCAAACAGUGUCCAGCAUCUCAUACACAACACUCAGUUACUGCUGUACGCAAAAUACAUGCUGAUAGUCUGCAUUUCCUGGUUGGUGGCUGAGGUCAUUCAUAGAUCUAACACACAGAAGUCAAUCUGUCCUAUUUACAAGACUGGCUGCAGUGGGUUCUUUUGUUCUUUAGUCACACAGGUGUGCACAUACACACCUUCCCAAUCAGUGGGAGGACAAAAGAAGUCAUUCAGAAGCAUGUAAAAAGCAUUGCGCUGAACUUCACCUGGUGCUUGAACCUUCUGCACAUCUCCCAGAUACUUUCCCUUGUUUUGCAGAGGGUUGAGGUGCAGAAUCAGACCAAGAGUUUGUCUUGAGCAACAUGCUGCAAGCAAUUGUGCCUGGUGUGCGAGACCCAGGAGCAUUUUGUUGUUCACCACACUGCAGCUGGAGGGGCUGAGGAUCAGCUGUGCAGGAUGAGGUGGGCAGAUACUAAAGGAGUCCCUCAUCUGAAGCCUGGAAUACUUGCACUACUCAGAACUGAGAACACACAUCGUUGUGACCAGCGUUGUCUAUGCUGAAUGAUAUGAUUUCAUCUAGUAAUAACCUGAGUGUGCUGGUGGCAGCUUAGGACAGCAUCAGACCAUCCUGACUUACUGCUGUUCACAGUCAAGAAUGUCAGUAACCACAGACCUCCCCUGCCCCAUUACCUGCAUCAGAGUGACAGCCUGCCCGACAAAGAGCUCUCUCAAAUGUGGGAAAACUGCUUUGUUGUUUUAUCAUUAAAACUUUGCUAAGUUAAAAAGCAUAUAUGGAAAAAUAGAUACCCUCAGGGAAGAGAAAGAACAGGUAUACGUAGGAUACAUGCCCUGGGAAGUCUCCAGUCUGUCUUCGGAAACUCUCCAAGCUGUGGAAACCAAGUGUCUUCAGCUGUUUGUACUGACACACACCCUUCAGGCCACUGUUCUUCUCCCAACACUGUAAUGUCCUACAAUCUUUUUUUUUUUUCUUUCAAAUUGACAUUUUAAAAACUAAAGUCCCUCGCUAUUCCUGUAAUUGCUUUCCAAGAUAUCCCCUGUCCGUUAGGCUGACUUUUUCCAUCCUGUCUUUCAACUUGGCAAAUCUAAUUCCCUCAAUCCCCUCAUGCCUUUUAGAUAUGCUAAUGUAAUAUGUUUUCCAAACAGAUAUUUAAAUUAAACCUUUUAAUUAAGUUAGUUGAACCAGUGUACCAGCGGCCAUGUCCCUGCCAGCUGGUAUGUCAGUACCUGCAAUAUUAUUUACCUUCUUAAUAAAAUGCUGUUGCCUGAACUUACACUGCUGUGAAUUUCAAACUGUACAUAGUGUUGUACGUUACAUCUGAAACUAAAACUCAUUUCCUUCUGCUUCUACUGAGUGAAAAACAACACAAGCUCAAAACCCUGUGGAGUACAAGCAGGUUCACUACU